rnacentral:rRNA from 1 species
AUGGCGACCGGCGCACGGGUGAGUAACACGUAUCCAACCUGCCGAUGACUCGGGGAUAGCCUUUCGAAAGAAAGAUUAAUACCCGAUGGCAUAGUUCUUCCGCAUGGUAGAACUAUUAAAGAAUUUCGGUCAUCGAUGGGGAUGCGUUCCAUUAGGUUGUUGGCGGGGUAACGGCCCACCAAGGCGACGAUGCGUAGCCGACCUGAGAGGGUGACCGGCCACACUGGAACUGAGACACGGUCCAAACUCCUACGGGAGGCAGCAUG